rnacentral:rRNA from 1 species
UACGUAGGGUGCGAGCGUUGUCCGGAAUUAUUGGGCGUAAAGAGCUUGUAGGCGGUUUGUCGCGUCUGCCGUGAAAUUUCGGGGCUCAACCCCGAACUUGCGGUGGGUACGGGCAGACUAGAGUGUGGUAGGGGAGACUGGAAUUCCUGGUGUAGCGGUGAAAUGCGCAGAUAUCAGGAAGAACACCCGUGGCGAAGGCGGCUCUCUGGGACGGUACUGACGCUGAGACGCGAAAGCGUGGGGGAGCGAACAGG